rnacentral:rRNA from 1 species
GCCCGCUACAGAAACUACAAAGGAAGUUGACGGGGGCCCCGCACAAGCGGUGGAGUAUGUGGUUAAUUCGAUGCAACGCGAAGAACCUUACCUGGUCUUGACAUCCCGGAGACCCUUAGGAAACUAGGGGGUGCUUCCAUCUGGAAGAAUCUGGAGACAGGUGCUGCAUGGCUGUCGUCAGCUCGUGUCGUGAGAUGUUGGGUUAAGUCCCGCAACGAGCGCAACCCUUGCCUUUAGUUGCCAGCAGUUCGGCUGGGCACUCUAAAGGGACUGCCGGUGUUAAACCGGAGGAAGGUGGGGAUGACGUCAAGUCCUCAUGGCCUUUAUGACCAGGGCUACACACGUACUACAAUGGCCGAUACAAAGGGCAGCGACACUGCGAGGUGAAGCCAAUCCCGUAAAAUCGGUCUCAGUCCGGAUUGGAGUCUGCAACUCGACUCCAUGAAGUUGGAAUCGCUAGUAAUCGUGGAUCAGCAUGCCACGGUGAAUACGUUCCCGGGCCUU